GUAGGUAGAGAAUACUAAGGCGUAGAGAUAAUACUUGUAAAGGAACUCGGCAAAUUGUCUUCAUAAGUUAGACGAUAUGAAGAACCAUUUAAUUGUAUAUCUUAACUGUUUCAUUUGCUUUUAUCCUGUACAAGGUACAAAGUAAAUAUUACAAUAAUAAGGUGCAUUAAUGGUGUCACAAAAUCGGAGGCCCCGACUGUUUACUUAAAACACAGCUUUCUGCCACGAUUAACAUCUUUGUAUAGAAAGCGAAUUUUGCCCAAUGCCAUUAAUAUAAGAUUGAUAAGCGCUUAGCGUAUUUAUUGAUUGAAGUUCUGGUCAAUGGCGGUCUUAUCUAUGAGGAUCCUAAGGUAGCAAAAUUAAUUGUCCAUUAAAUGUGGUCCUGACUGAAUAAAGUAACGAUGGUCUCACUGUCUCUACAAGUAUCUCAGUGAAAUUGAAUUAGCCGUGCAGAUGCGGUUUAACUUCGGGUAGACGGGAAGACCCUAUGC
rnacentral:rRNA from 1 species